rnacentral:lncRNA from 1 species
GUUUAUUCUCAACAGAGGGUGUUCAUGUUGGGUGCACACAACAUGAAGCCGAGUGAUGAGAGUAGACGCCUUUGCGUGACUUUCGCCCGAUUUGAGUCGGUAUUAAGUGUUUCGUGUUCGACCUAGAAGGUCGAGGAUUAAUAAGGUUGUCGCGUUUUAGGGAGUAAUAGCACCGCGUAGGCGAUCUUCUUUUAGAUCGGCGCGGGAUGGGCCAAGUGGUGUCCCUGGGCAAUUUGAGGCGAGCGGAGACUUGGAACUUCACGAGCUUUGGCGGCCCUU